rnacentral:rRNA from 1 species
AGCGAACGCUGGCGGCGUGCCUAACACAUGCAAGUCGAACGUGAAAUGGGAAACCUGAGUAAAGUGGCGUACGGGUGAGUAACGCGUAGGUAAUCUACCCCAGAAUCUGGAAUAACCUGCCGAAAGGCGGGCUAAUACUGGAUAGAGCGAGGGAACUCGUACGAGAGUUUUUCGGGAAAGGGAGCCCGCAAGGGCCUUCGUUCUGGGAUGAGCCUGCGUCUCAUGAGCUAGUUGGUAAGGUAACGGCUUACCAAGGCGAUGAUGAGUAGCUGGUCUGAGAGGAUGAGCAGCCAGACUGGAACUGAAACACGGUCCAGACUCCUACGGGAGGCAGCAGUAGGGAAUCUUGCGGCAGAGACGAAAGUCUGACGCAGCCACGCCGAGUGAGUGAAGAAGGCCGUCGGGUUGGAAAGCUCUGUCGGAUGGGACGAACACGCUCAUAGUGAUUAGCUAUGAGGACUGACGGUACCAUCAAAGGAAGCACCGGCUAACUCCGUG